rnacentral:rRNA from 1 species
GAUGAACGCUGGCGGCGUGCCUAAUACAUGCAAGUCGAACGCUGAAGGAGGAGCUUGCUCUUCUGGAUGAGUUGCGAACGGGUGAGUAACGCGUAGGUAACCUGCCUGGUAGCGGGGGAUAACUAUUGGAAACGAUAGCUAAUACCGCAUGACAACAGUUAUUGCAUGAUAACUGUUUAAAAGGGGCAACUGCUCCACUACCAGAUGGACCUGCGUUGUAUUAGCUAGUUGGUGAGGUAACGGCGCACCAAGGCGACGAUACAUAGCCGACCGGAGAGGGGGAUCGGCCACACUGGGACUGAGACACGGCCCAGACGCCUACGGGAGGCAGCAGGAGGGAAUCUUCGGCAAUGGACGGAAGUCUGACCGAGCAACGCCGCGUGAGUGAAGAAGGUUUUCGGAUCGUAAAGCUCGGUUGUAAGAGAAGAACGAGUGUGAGAGUGGAAAGUUCACACUGUGACGGUAUCUUACCAGAAAGGGACGGCUAACUACGUG